rnacentral:lncRNA from 1 species
UGAGCAGAUCACUGUCCAGGAAGAUGGAUGAGUUCACAUGGGCUGCUGGGCUGUGUGUUGGGUUAGUGUUAUCCAGGAUGUGAGCUGCUGCUUCCCACUGACCUGGGCUGGAACACAGGCGAUUUCCUGCAGCCAGGUCAAAACCAUCGAGCGUUAUGCCCAUGGCACAUGAAAUAAAACAACACCAAUACGCUCAGUACGUCAUAGAAUAGAAUCAGAAUCACAGAAUUGCUCAGGUUGGAAAAGACCAUCAAGAUCAUCAAGUCCAACUGCAGCCUAACCAUGCUACCCCAACAACCCACUGCUAAAUCAUGUCUCUGAGCAUCCUUUCUUGCAGAACAAAUUGUGUCCUAACCAAUUGUAUUAACUAUUCAGAGCAGCUUCCAUUCCAUUACAUAAACAAAUGCUUUCUGCCCUUUCAAUCAUCAUCUCCCUGAAGCUGCUUCUUAUGCUCUCCAUCUUCCCAUGUGCUAUGGAGGCCUGAUGCUGCCAGAGACCACGUACCUUUUGGGGUGCUUGGCACUGAAAUGCCCAUGAAGCCCUUACUGUUAAUCAAGAGAGGGAGAUUAGAAGAGAUCAGAACUACCAGCCUGAAGAGCACUUUGCAUUUGACUACACCUUUCUACCAGCCUUGUGUUUUUCUUCUGAUACCUCUGCAGGGAGAAGUUCUCCAGGUAAGGUUACAUCUGCAGCCUGAGCUCUCCCCUUCUAACUAAGCCAUCUCAUACUGAUUUUUGGACAGUGCAUUUUCUUCUUCUUCUUCCUUUUUUUUUUUUUUUUUUUUUUUUUUAAUCAUGCUUAAGAUUUGUCAGAGAAUCAUAGAAUCAGUUCUAAAUAGGUAUAAAUUAUAAUUGUCUCUCCAUAUCUUGCUCACCUUAGCUGAAGCCAGCAACUCAGGCAGUAAUAGGCUCUAAGCAGGACCAGGGGCUGUUGAAUUCUUCAUGUUAAAGCAAAGGCACUCAUUUUUAUCCCAAUGUGCAUUCAAAACAGGGCUUUAGCAGGCUGCCUUCCUGCAUAAGUGGGACUCAGAGUGUGAGUUAUGCAUCCAGAUCCUUAAAUACAAGAACAUGAAAUAAAAG